rnacentral:rRNA from 1 species
UGGGGAAUUUUGGACAAUGGGGGCAACCCUGAUCCAGCAAUGCCGCGUGUGUGAAGAAGGCCUUCGGGUUGUAAAGCACUUUUGUCCGGGAAGAAAUCGCACCUGAUAAUACCGGGUGUGGAUGACGGUACCGGCAGAAUAAGGACCGGCUAACUACGUGCCAGCAGCCGCGGUAAUACGUAGGGUCCAAGCGUUAAUCGGAAUUACUGGGCGUAAAGCGUGCGCAGGCGGUUGUGCAAGACCGAUGUGAAAUCCCCGGGCUUAACCUGGGAAUUGCAUUGGUGACUGCACGGCUAGAGUGUGUCAGAGGGGGGUAGAAUUCCACGUGUAGCAGUGAAAUGCGUAGAGAUGUGGAGGAAUACCGAUGGCGAAGGCAGCCCCCUGGGAUAACACUGACGCUCAUGCACGAAAGCGUGGGGAGCAAACAGG